rnacentral:rRNA from 1 species
AUUGAACGCUGGCGGAAUGCUUUACACAUGCAAGUCGAGCGGCAGCGCGGGGCAACCUGGCGGCGAGCGGCGAACGGGUGAGUAACACAUCGGAACGUACCCAGUCAUGGGGGAUAGCCCGGCGAAAGCCGGAUUAAUACCGCAUACGACCUGAGGGUGAAAGUGGGGGACCGCAAGGCAUCACGUGAUUGGAGCGGCCGGUGGCGGUUUAGCUAGUUGGUAGGGUAAAGGCCUACCAAGGCGACGAUCCGUAGCGGGUCUGAGAGGACGGCCUGCCACAUUGGAACUGGGACACUGUCCAAGCUCCUACGGGGGGCAGCAGUGGGAAAUUAUGGACGAUGGGCGAAAGCCUGAUCCAGCCAUUCCGCGUGAGUGAAGAAGGCCUUCGGGUUGUAAAGCUCUUUCGGCAGUAACGAAACAGUGAGUUCGAAUAAAGCUCACUAAUGACGGUACCUGAAGAAGAAGCACCGGCUAACUACGUGCCAGCCGCCGCGGUAA